rnacentral:rRNA from 1 species
UGGAUGGACCUGCGGUGCAUUAGCUGGUUGGUGAGGUAAAGGCUCACCAAGGCGACGAUGCAUAGCCGGCCUGAGAGGGCGAACGGCCACACUGGGACUGAGACACGGCCCAGACUCCUACGGGAGGCAGCAG